GUUGCUGGGCCUUAUCAUCUCUGGUAGCCCUCUGUGCUUCUGCGUGCUCUCGACAGUCCAAGGAAAAGAAUCUCCAAGACGACCAAGCUCACCAAGCUGACAUUGAUGACGACGACGCACUUGAAUUGGACAUGCAGCCUCUCCGAGGGCUACCCUACAUCGUGUCAUGGUCGUUUAUCCAGAAACUGGUCAACAGCAUGUUUAAGU